rnacentral:rRNA from 1 species
CUACGGGCUGCAGCAGUGGGGAAUAUUGGACAAUGGGGGAAACCCUGAUCCAGCAAUGCCGCGUGUGUGAAGAAGGCCUGCGGGUUGUAAAGCACUUUCGGUUGGGAGGACUGCUUCUAGCACUAAUAUUGUUGGAAGUUGACGUUACCUUCAGAAGAAGCACCGGCUAACUCCGUGCCAGCAGCCGCGGUAAUACGGAGGGUGCAAGCGGUUAAUCGGAAUUACUGGGCGUAAAGCGCGCGUAGGCGGCUAGAUCAGUCGGGUGUGAAAGCCCCGGGCUUAACCUGGGAACUGCAUCCGAUACUGUCUAGCUUGAGUACAGGAGAGGAGAGUGGAAUUCCACAUGUAGCGGUGCAAUGCGUAGAUAUGUGGAGGAACACCAAUGGCGAAGGCAGCUCUCUGGCCUGAUACUGACGCUGAGGUGCGAAAGCGUGGGGAGCAAACAGGAUUAGAUACCCCGUAGUC